GCGACAUAAACAAUGCCUUCGGGUGCGUUUAUGGGCGGCGAGCGGCGGACGGGUGAGUAAUGCCUGGGAAUAUGCCCUGAUGUGGGGGAUAACCAUUGGAAACGAUGGCUAAUACCGCAUAAUCUCUUCGGAGCAAAGAGGGGGACCUUCGGGCCUCUCGCGUCAGGAUUAGCCCAGGUGAGAUUAGCUAGUUGGUGAGGUAAGAGCUCACCAAGGCGACGAUCUCUAGCUGGUCUGAGAGGAUGAUCAGCCACACUGGAACUGAGACACGGUCCAGACUCCUACGGGAGGCAGCAGUGGGGAAUAUUGCACAAUGGGGGAAACCCUGAUGCAGCCAUGCCGCGUGUGUGAAGAAGGCCUUCGGGUUGUAAAGCACUUUCAGUCGUGAGGAAGGCAUAUGCGUUAAUAGCGCAUGUGUUUGACGUUAGCGACAGAAGAAGCA
rnacentral:rRNA from 1 species